rnacentral:misc_RNA from 1 species
AAGAUGAUGAGUUUGUGGGGUCUGGGGUUAGCCCUUUUGGCUGUCACUGCAAAACAAGUGCAUGGUAUGAUAUGCCCGGAAGUCGUCAGUUGUUUGUCACCCUGCCAUCAAUUCCUGGUUGGCAGCUACCAAUCUCCCACCCCUCCAUGUUGUGCAGCGGCACAAAACCUGAACAGUGAGGCUACCACUAAGCAAAUACGUGUGUAUCUCUGUGAAUGUUUUAAAAACGCUAUACCCAUUUUUGGGGUUAAGCUUGACAAAGCUAAGCGACUUCCUCUAUUGUGCAAUGUCGACCACCCUCGUGUUCCUAUUGAUCCUAAA